rnacentral:lncRNA from 7 species
CGAGGUCCUAUAAAUACCCGAGUGCUCGCCUUCGUGUAUCCCAAACACAGAGAGAGACCCACCGGUGGUGCGGAGAACGAAAGAGCAGAAAGAUGGAGAAGCCGCAGUCGCCGUCGCGCCUAGGUUUCAUCCACGUCGUGCCUCUACUCGCAGUGGAUGGCUAGGGAGAUUCGCUGAGGCAUGAUGAAGGAAGAUGUGACAGCGAAGUAGGGGGGAGGCCCCUCAGUGGCGCCCAAAUUCCUCGUCGAACGACAACAGACGACGUGGAUCCACCAUGCACCGUGGCCGAAGAUUUCUGCUGCGCCACCGUCGGUAAGACCUCUUCCCACGUGCUCGUCAUCAA